AUUGAACGCUGGCGGCAGGCCUAACACAUGCACUUUUAACGGUAACAGGAAACAGCUUGCUGUUUCGCUGACGACCGUCGGACGGGUGAGUAAUGUCUGGGAAACUGCCUGAUGGAGGGGGAUAACUACUGGAAACGGUAGCUAAUACCGCAUCACGUCGCAAGACCAAAGAGGGGGACCUUCGGGCCUCUUGCCAGUCGGAUGUGCCCAGAUGGGAUUAGCUAGUAGGUGGGGUAACGGCUCACCUAGGCGACGAUCCCUAGCUGGUCUGAGAGGAUGACCAGCCACACUGGAACUGAGACACGGUCCAGACUCCUACGGGAGGCAGCAGUGGGGAAUAUUGCACAAUGGGCGCAAGCCUGAUGCAGCCAUGCCGCGUGUAUGAAGAAUGUUUUUUUUUUUGUAAAGUACUUUCAGCGGGGAGGAAGGGAGUGAAGGUAAUACCUUUGCUCAUUGACGUUACCCGCAGAAGAAGCACCGGCUAACUCCGUGCCAGCAGCCGCGGUAAUACGGAGGGUGCAAGCGUUAAUCGGAAUUA
rnacentral:rRNA from 1 species